AACCCAAUGGAUAAGGCGUCUGACUUCUAAUCAGACGAUUGUGGGUUCGAGUUCCAC
rfam:Brassica oleracea var. oleracea cultivar TO1000 chromosome C9, whole genome shotgun sequence